UUGCUUUGAUUCUUCCUCUUCCCCAGGCUUUUUAAGGAUAUACAAAGGAUGGUAAUAUGUGAUGGAGAUGUUGCAAAUGCUCAAAAAAUCGUAGAAAGGAAGCUCUAUUUUUCCAGUAGUUAUAUUCUCUAAUAUCAUAACAUGAAAGGGUUUGCAUGACCUAUGCAGCCAUGCAUAGCAAAAAGACAGUAUCUGGAAAUGUUACUUAAGAAAUCCGCUGUCAAAAGGCAAGCCCCCCUCCAUCCAUCUGCCUGUCUAUCUAUAAAGAACUUUUUGUCCUUUAGAAGUAUAAAUCCAUUAGUAAUAGAUUGCAGUCUCUUUCUUUCUUGAAGAGAAAUAAGAGAAUUCCACCACUAAACUUUGGUUUUGUUAGGAGGGGGGGGUGGGGGGUGGGGGUGGGGUUGGGAUUGCAUAUAUUGAUGAACACUGAUUUUGAGGAAGCCCUCAGGGAGAUGGGUUGCAGUCAUUCUCAAGCAUAAUACAUGCCAAGCAUGAUUGCAUUAUAAUUGGCAGCGUCUGUGUUAUUCUCAAGCUUACUAGAAAAUGGAUUGUUGCUCAAGUAUGUCGAUAUUUUUUUAAUCUAGUAAGCUUUUACAAAUGCAUAAAUGGGAACGGCGUCGUAAAGAUAAAGUAAAAUUAUAGAGAAAAGAAAACAUAAGUAAUCCAUUGAAGCUUGAAAUUUAAUGCAUAAAAUAUUCCAAAUGUAAAAUCUUUUACCAACAGCAUGUGGACAAAAUUGUUCCAGCUACCAAGAAAUGAAACAAAACAACUGAAACAACUGUGGAAACAGCAUGUGCCAUACUCUUGCCAUACCUACAACAUAGAAAUCAAUGUUAAUGUCCACAAGUACGUAGAAAACUAAGAAAGCUAUACUCCAUACAGGGCAAAAACAAGUUCCAUUAGGAGAACUUAAAGGAUUAUAUAAACAGAAACUAGAGGAAUAAUUAGAAAAACCUGCUAAUCCUGUCAUCCAGAACACAUCUUAGUAUGCCAAUUGCAAAAUUUGCACGCAAUGAAGAGAAACUUACGCAGCACAGUAACCUGAAAAGGCAACCAACAAAAACAGACAGAGAAUGACAACAAAAGCAGGAUCAUCUCGUGCCCACUGGUUCUUGUUUCUGGGGAAAAGGGGAAGGUCCGUAUAAAUACUAAUUCCACUUUAUACAACAAACAAAUUAAAAGGAUAACUAAAAAUGCAUAAUAUAAAUUUAAAAUGAUGCCGCAGGAAAUUACAUAUGAAACUUGCAUCGAACAAUGCUCUGGAAGGUCCAAAAACUUACAAGUUUAUAUAGAAAAUGCUAUAACUUACUCCAUGGAAGAUUAAUCCAUUAGUAUGACACUGAAUAUCUGUCUAUUGUAUCAAAUCUUUGAAAUGUAUCUUCUAAGGAACCUAGACCUACUGAAUAGCCUUUGUAUAUCUCGUACUGUUAAUGCUGAUUAUUGAGAUAAAGUGGUCAUAACUUGGUCGGCGUCUCCAUCAUAACAAUACUUCCACAUAGUACACUUAAAACCAUUGUUUGCCAUCUUCGUACCAGACCCCAUAUUGGUAAAAUCCCAUUAUACUGCCGGUACACAGUAUAGUACGGUACAGUAGUGACGAGAUAGGUGGUAAGGCAUAUCAGUACAGUACCAGUAUGGUAUGGUAUGCCCCAUACCUGACAGUACGGCGAACCAUGCCUAAAACUAUUCCAAAAUUGGUGGUACUAUUUCUAUAAGAUCAAAUGAAAAAGGCAUAAACAGAAAGCAAGAAGUUCCACUAUAAUCAUAACCAUCAAGCCUUGUCCCAACUACUUGCCAUUGACUUUAUGAAUUCAUAUUCACCAAACAUCUACAAAUUGCAUUGUCCUAGCCUCCAUGAUAAAUUAGUUCUCUUACUCCUUGCCCAUACAAAAUACUUGAUAUUUGUAGUUGCUGAUCUCCUUGAUUAACCUCAAUUUUAUAUGGAAAAGCUCAAGCUAUGCUGCAACACAAAAAACUUCAAUGCCCUAAGUCAUUCACAUGCAAAUCUUAAAAACAAACAAAUAAUCUUUAAAAAAACCUCAUUAGACCCAAACUACUGAAGGAAAGAAAACGAUAAAAUGAAUUGAAAAAAAAAAAAAAACUUUUCUCAGCAUGCUCAGUUGCGAACAAUCAACCAGUAGUGUCAUAUCUCCCCCUUCCGAUGGUUCAAGGAGUCAUAAGAAACAUGAAUAAGUUGAAACAAAUAAAAGGAAAAAGAGCAGCCCAAUGCACGAGUUUCCUGCCAUUGCAGGUCUAUGUAUGCAGCAUUAUCCCUACACACAAAGAGGUUUCCAUUUUUCAGACCAAUGACCUCCACGUCACAAUAAAGCAACCUUACCAUUGUGUCAAGGAUCACCCUCUUGAAGUGAAUAAAAGAAAGCCCUAUGAAUUUUUUUGGUUCAAGAAAGGACAUAUGCCUUAUUAGUAUGGGAUAUUUGGUCCUCAGGAGACCUUUUUACAGUAAAUAAUUUUCUAUGCAAUAUGUUGCUGAAAGAUGCUUGUCACAUCUAGAUUAAAAGGACCGCAGCCUCAUGAUAUGUUGGUUCAUCAUAAUGAAAGUACUUCAUUUUCCUUCCUCAAUUUCUUGAAGCGAAAAUCCCUUGGAAAAAUAUUACAUCGAGUAUUUCCUUGGAAAAUUAGCAUAAUCUCUUAUCCCUUAAAGUCUUUUACCAAAAUUUAGAACUUGCCUACUAGAUAUGCUUUCCUACACAAUUGUGCUAGAAAAGAACAAGGAAGUUUCAGGAUGCAUAACAGAUAUGUCAAAGGCUUUACCAAUAUAGCAAUCAGGAAGGUUUUAAGCCGUUUUCCCAAUUUAGAGGUGCAAAAGGUUCCAUGUUGCUGACUGCCAUAUAUGACAUCUAAAAAAGCAUGAUAUUAUAUUGAGCUCUAUGCUGCAUGGACUCAGUUUUGUGUGUCUAGUGCUGGUGCAUGUCUAAGCGUUGUAUCCUUUCAACAUCUAAGAAUUUAUUCUUAUGGAGACUUGUCCAAGUGUCAUACCAAUGUCGGCAUUUAUGGGUCAGGUGCAGGUAUUUUAGGCUAGAUUGAAGUGUCUGGUAACAUUGGUUGUGUUUGUGGAUGUUGAUAUAUCUUUGCUCUUUCUAAUUGUUUAACUUAGUUACCUGGAAUGUACUGAAAUCUAAUUCCUAUCAUUCUCAUCCGUACAACGUGGUGCAACCCACCAUUUUUUUGGAGUGUUCCCAAGAAAAAGAAAAUAACAAAGCUCAAUCAUUACUAGAUUCCAAAACACCCAUGCAAAUAAGACAUACAAAGAAAGAUGUAAACUAUUAUGCCAAAAAGUAUGGAAACAUAGGUAACAGGUAAUUACCACCAAAAGCUACCAGCGAACAAACUAUCAAUCUUUCUUAAAAAAAGAAAAUAAAAUAAAAUGCCAAUUAGCAGAAAGAAUGCUGCACAUUAAGUCAGAUGACUUACGCUUAUGAUAUUUGGUGUGCUGAUAGCUGUCUUUCAGAAUUCAGUUCCCCAUGCAUGUACAAGCAAUAAAAUCAGAUAAGACAUUUCACUAAAUGAUGAAAUGAAUGCUGAAAAAAAAAGAAUAAAAGGUAACAACAACAAGUGCCAGAUCUUGGAACAUGAUAUAUUAAUAGAUUGAUCACUUUGUAAAAAAGUGCACAGCUUCACACAUUCACUAGAUUUUAAAUCAUCUGUUGAAUAAGGGAUAUAGUAUGGCAUAGCUGCCAAGAGUAUAUUUAUCCUGCAAGAAAAAAACUAGUUAAAUAACGAUAAUGAUUAGCAUAAUAUUUUUGAAAAACCUUGAUUUUGCAUAAAGACAAGUAACAGGAAAAUAUUCACAAAAUUGACGUCAUAAUCACUCAUUGCUUCAAAUCCUUUCUCGUAUUCUCCACUAAACUUUGUUAACAUCCCUUCACUCUGCUGUCAAAGCCUUAGACAGAAGAAAUGGUUAUUUCUUGGAACUCUUUCACACAAAGCUUAACAUGGCAAUAGGCAUCUCCAAAAAUGUUCUCCAUAAAUGUCAAGAGCUAGCAACAAAGACUAUGUGGCCUAAAAAUAUUCUUCAAAACUACUUGAGGGCGAGAUCUGCUGGAUGUACAAUUAGGGAUUAUUAUUUAUUGAGAUUAGGAAAAAUACCAUCUACUACUCCUGCAAAUAGAUCUGUUUGAAGUAUGAUUAACUGCUUGAAAACUGAAAUAAGACAUACCUAAAGUAUAAUGCAUAUAUGAACCAAAGUAAAAUAAAAGCAUAAAGAAAGAUACAUACACAACUUUUGGCGAAGUACAAAGAUGAAGCAUUUGCCAGAAUGUAUGCUCGAUAUCCAUUUGUUGCCACUACAACAAGCCAAAAAAUGGACCACACAAAUCAAUGGAAGUCAAAUAGAAAUAUAAAUAAUUAAUCAGUUGCAAAAGCAAACACAGAACUAAUUUGAAAUCAGAUCCAUAUAUCUGCAUUAUCUUGCUUGGAAGGAUGUGCAGGAUACCAUGAUUCAAGGUACAGAAAAUUGUUAAUAAUAAUCUAAUAAAAGAAUGCUUCAGAUGGACAGUCACACAGACAUAUACUAGACAACAGGCCCAAGGCAUCCUAAAGUGCUUGGGACUUUAAAGAACUUUGCACAAGAUCACUUCUACACCAUGUAAUGAAAAAAAAUACAGAUACAUAGAUAGAUAGAUAGAUAGANNNNNNNNNNNNNNNNNNNNNNNNNNNNNNNNNNNNNNNNNNNNNNNNNNNNNNNNNNNNNNNNNNNNNNNNNNNNNNNNNNNNNNNNNNNNNNNNNNNNNNNNNNNNNNNNNNNNNNNNNNNNNNNNNNNNNNNNNNNNNNNNNNNNNNNNNNNNNNNNNNNNNNNNNNNNCAAACAGAUAGACAGAUGCAUACAUACAUACAUACAUAAACAUACAAUAUGCACAAAAGCACAAAUGUUUAUAUGUGUAUCAAACAAUUGAGCAUACGCAAAUGUUCAACAGAAAUGUGUGGCAGAAAGUGUCUCUUAGAAAUAUAAAUCUGCAAUAGCUUUCAUGUCAUGUCUUGAAAAAGAAGGAAAAAAACUUAAAGCACAACAGUUAUGUUUUGACAGUGGUCAUGAAUUGUAGAAUAAGGGUCAUAAUCAUAUUGUCAUGCCACGCCCAAUUAUCUUUGAAACAGUUAGGCGACAUGGUGUAAAAGUGUUACAUAGUUUCUGCUUCCAUUGAGAACUGUAUGAUACACCUAUAUAUAAGAUGAAUUUAUACAAUGUUAAGUCAUCUUUUAUAUUGACCUGGAAUUAAACUAGGAGUUCAGCUACAACAACAAUUCAACACUUCUCCAAAUUUCAAGCCAAAUGCUAUAUGAACACCAUACUAUAAGUCACUCCGACACAACGGUCAAUACUUUUGCAUGCUUGCUGAAAGCAGGUCUAGAAGGUGAAACUAAAAAUUACGUAGAGUUGGUAAGAUAUGAACACCUAAACUCCCCUAUGAAUUCCACCAUUUUCCUCUCAAAUUUUAGCUCGGAAAUUCGAACGUGUUUCAUAUGGUUCCAUCACCAAUCAUAUCAGCCAUUCUUAGAAAAUAACAAGUACCCAAAAUUGAUAGCAAGAAAACAAGUCAUUUAGGAAUGCAAAAUCAGAAACAGUUGGAUUACAAAGCAUCGGAUCCACAUAGGGUUGAAUGAUAGACAAGAAAACUGAAGGGCAAAAAAGAUUCUAACAACUUCCUUCUACGAACGGACGGAGAUAAACAGCAUAAUAUCUCAUAACGUUAGGAGGGGCGAUAGGGGGGGAAGGGGGAGGACUGGAGAGGGAACCUGGACGAUUCGGCGGAGGUAGUUGGGAAACACGGCGGCGGGGGACGUGCGCCCCUUGGAGACGGUCGGCGGCAUGAGGCGCCCUUUCGCCUCUUCCUCGAUCCAAACGAGAUCCGCGGCUCUCCAACGACUGGUUAAAGUCCAAACUCGGCAGCCAGAUCUCUAAUGAUAAAUCGUUACGGGGUAGAAGAGAUUUCACACGAAAUCGAACCCGGGUUUGGCUUUUAUUAUUAUUAUUAUUAUUUAUACAAUUAAUCAUCCAUAUAAUUUUUUAUAUGAAUACGUUCAAAAAUAUUAUAUUCUUAAAUAAUUUAGAGAUCCCGCUCAUAUCAGUCCAAACUAACGAUACAAAGUGCUCAACGAUAAAAACAGUAAUAUAGUCAGCUGCUAACCAUCACUUUAGAUUGAUAUAAGUGCGAUGUUUGAAAAAUAAAAUUAAAUCAAGAUUCAUUUUGCAACAGAAUGCCACAUUGCUCAAAUUUAUAGCUCCAACCAAAUUUUCCCGCGCCCAAAUCCCUUUGCCCCCGUAUAUAAGUCACUAGGGUACCAUACCUUGUCAAAAAUGCCCCACGUUGUCCUAAAAUGAAAAGAAUAUCAAAAAUUGAGAGGGCAACCAAUUACAUGCACCACAUUUGGCAUAUGGUUUUGAAAGUUUCACCAUAGAACUGAUAUAUAUAUAUAGUGAUUAACAUCUAAUCUUAGUUGUUCACCGUUUGUUUGCUUUUCCUGUUCCUAACCUUAGUUGUUCGCUGUUUGUUUGCUUUUCCUGUUCAUUCCUUCUGAUAUUCCAAGUUUCCAUCAUGCUUGCAUUCCUACAACCAUGAUAGAUGAUUCUACAAAACUAGACAAUCUAAGGAGGUAUUUGGUUGAGGAGAGUGGGGGCCUGAAAUUGAAAUCGGAAUAAGUGACUUCCAUUCCAACCGUUUGAUUGGGAAGAGUUCCAUUUCGAUUCUGAUUUCAAGGUGGAAUAAGAAUGACUCAAUCUAUACAGAAUUCAAUCCCUACUCUCCUCUAUGGAUUCAAAUUUUCAUUCUAAUUUCAAUUUCAAUAUUUCAUUCACGAACCAAACGCUUCGAAGGAUUUGACCAUUCCGAUUUCGAUUCCAAACCAUUCCGAUUCUCAUUCCAUUCCGAUUUUCGUUACGAACUAAAUACCCCUUAAAUGAUUUCUCGAUAGCGAAGAAACUCCCGAUUGCAAGAAUCCGAGCUAUGGCCAAGGGGCCCCAAAAACCUCAAGCCCGAUCAACCCUAGUAUUGUUUAGAACCAGGCUAUCUUGGAAAUCCGAGCUAUUUUGAAGAACCCUCAGUAUGUUCUUGCCUUUUGUAUCAUUGUUUGAUAUGUGCAUGCUAGGCAAAAUCUUAGGGUAAUGCCAUGCGAUUACAAUCAAAUAUUUGCCUAAACCUCUACCUUCUGAGGUUUUUUAGAUAAUAGGAUAAUUUUCUCCAAUACUCUCCCAUUAUCUGCUCCAAUAUUGAAUCACCCAACCUAUGUUCAAAGCUCCAAACGUCCAUGUCAACCAUCUUGUAUUCCAUAUCCUGCUUCAUAUUUCACUCGCCACACACUUUUGAUGCAUUUAGUGAAUAUUUCACUAUCUAUAAUGCAUGCUUGUUUGUUCCACUUAACAGGAUCAGAGCAUUUGCUUAAACUCUUGAUAAAAAUAUUUGAACGUGCGGUGCAUUUUUUUCCCUAGUGCAUAUUACUUUAAUCUAACAAUACACACGGUUGAAGUUAUUGAUACAUGUUUGAUGUUUAUCCCACAAAUAAAUUUAAUGUACAAUACACACAUUCAAUAUGCAGGACACAUGCUUAUCUUUAUCAAGGUACACACUUUUGGAAAUAAUGCACAUGUUGGUAUACCGACAAGUAUUUAUUGUUAAUUGAUUCAUGAUUUAGGAACCACCCACCAUCCCACAACCACCUCCAAUCCAAGCAUUGCAUGGAUCGAAGAGAGCAGCCACACAUUACUUCCAAAGCCCUCCUCGGAUGCACCUGCUAUAAUGGCUAGUCGGAGAUGAGUAAGUUACAUCAAUGCCUAUUGCUUUAUGAAUAAAUUUAUAGAUAUUUUGAAAAUUGCUUGAAAGGUGUAUUUGAAUUUUUUAAUCUGUAUAAAUAUCUACAAUCUUUCCAGCGAAUGUGAGACUUAAUAUAUACUCAAACGAAUCUUCACACUCUAUUUAUCAAAUUAUUUAAUUAUCAAAAAUCAAACAGGAUAAGUCUAUUUUUAACAAGAUUAUUGAGUGGUAGCCAAAUAACGUGAACUUCUAAUUUGCCAAACCAUAUUCAAGUUCCUCAAUAGUGAUGUCGCUAUCAUUUUUGGUUUAUCCUUGCAAGGAGAACUGAAAGCCCUAGAAGACUCGAUUAUUAGGAGACACAUCUCGAGGAGACUAGGAUGCACUGCCAUGAGCUUGAACUAGUUAUUAAGAAACUUUCAUCCCUCUCCACCUCUAAUGGCAUACCUUGUUCCAAAAUUUGGUUAAUUACUGUGGCACGAGGAGGAGGAUUUGUUUGUCCGUCUAUUGCCGCAAACAUAAAUGCCCUUUUCUCACUCAUGAUGGCUAGAUCUGACAUCAGUUUGUUUAUCUAGUCCUUGAAGCGAUUGUGGUGUAUGAAGGCUAUCUCAUGCCAAUGGAAGAUCUAUGUCACCAAACCUAGAAGCGGAAAUUACCAAAAGGGGUGUGCUGAUAAAGCUAGAUCUGUUUAUUUCCAGAUGUGUGUCAAGUAAUAAUAAGUGUAUGUAUCACUAUAAGCAAAGUAGGUAUUAUAACUUACUAGGAGAAGCACUGCAUGUCCAUUCAGAUAUCCCUUAUUUUCGGGGGUUUUGCCAAAGAGGGCAGUGGAAAAGGCCCAAUCAGACCUUGGAAACCCAUCCUUUGAGACAAGGGUUCGGCAAUGCCAAAGGUGCCUGGGGUAAUGGGAUCUUUUCCCCAUGCUACCUUUCUAUGCCAUGGUUAAGAGAGAUUGCAAAAAACAAUUCGAGGAGAGGGAGACCGUCCAUUUCUCAAUACAUUAUCAUUUUUUAAAGACUUAAAAGCACAUCAUGAUCUUANNNNNNNNNNNNNNNNNNNNCAUAAAUAUCCAAGAUCUAUCCAAUAUAUAGGAUAAAAUAUACAUCCAUAUAAAUUUUCGUAGAUUCAAAAAGACCAACACAAAUUUUCUCAAUUUACACUAAAAUAUCCGUGUGUGCGUUGCGGACUGAUUUUGAAGGUUACAACAUUGUUAUAUGCUGUAAUCAGAAAACACAUAAUGGCAAAUUUAAACCAAUAAUUCAAAAUAUGGAUCAGAAUUUGUAUCACUAGAUAUGCCAUAGAAUACACAAUUAAAAAAAUGGAAAAACUAAGGGUGAAACCCCUUCUCAAGUGGACCUUUUGGUAACAGCACAUCGAGUGCUUCAAGUAAACGUCUGAGGGAAGAUCCUUUGCAACCACCAACACGUGGACUGUACCAUGAUGGCAAGGGGGGCCGGACGACGCAGCCUCAAAUGUCGCCACUCCAUCUAAACCCCUUCCAUCAUCUCCAACAUGCAUGACCAUAGAAACAAUCCACAAGCAAGGUUGGUCGUAAGCACUUAAAACAAGCAAGAACAGGUACAAUCAUAAGGUUCCCUGCGAUGAUGUAGAACACUAAGCAAGGUUCCACCUCAAAAAGCCCAAACCAGUAAAGCCCAGUAUUCCGUCGUCGCACUGGGGCUUUGGGCAUAUAAUCACUAACAAGAUAUAACCGACAGAGAAGAGACUUCCCGUGGAACGUCAAUGAGUUGGCAAUGCGCUCCCAAGUUUGUCAGUCUUGUGCACGAAAAUAAGAUGCGGAUAAUAUCUUCAUUCGGGUUCAGUUUCAGUGAAAUAUCUUGGGACCUUGAUAUUUAGAAAAUUGAAAUUACAAUAUCAUGGCAACCAUAAGGCGGGCCGAAACAAGAUUACAUUCUAAUAUAUUUAUAUUCAUAUUUAUUUUAUUUAAUAAAUAUAAAUAUGCAUAAAUAUAUUAGUCGAAUACAAAAAUUUAUAUUCAUAUUUAUUUUAAAUAAAUACGGAUACAAAUCGGAUAUUGAAAAUAUGAAUAUAAAUACGAAUACAAAUUGGAUAACUAAAUUUUAUGACCACAAAAUCAAAGAUAUUAUUAAGUAGAUCAUAAAUCAAAUUAAUAAUAUAUUAAUAUGAUUAUAUAUAUAUAUUUAAAUAUAUGAGUACCAUAUAAAAAUAAAAAAAUUAUAAAAAAAAUCAGAUAUUCGGAUACGGAUCAAAUAGUUGUCUAUCCAUAUUCAUUUUUCUUUGAUGGAUAUAGAGUUUGGAUGCUCAAAUUUUUAUCCAUAUUUUGAUAAAUUUAGAUAUGAAAAUAAAUCUGAACAUAUAUUAUCCGAUCUAUUUUCAUCCCUAUCAUCGUAACAAUCUUGCAUGAGACAAUGCUUUAUACUGAUUUCUCAAGUCAUUUUGUAACCCUAGAGGAUGCAAACUAUGAACUAAAAAAGGGCUCCAAAUUUUGUAGCAAUUCUAAUUAUAGGAGAUGGUAGUUAACAUGCCAUUGUUGAAAAAGAUCUGGAUACUCAGCUCAUCUAUGGACCAUAGGAUACAAAUAUAACAUUUCAAGGCUUUUCAAAUCCAUGAAAAGCUACUCUCCCUUAUGGCCAUUUCAGUAUGAUGAAAGAAUACCACAAACCAAUAAACACCAAAAUAACUAGUAUGCUAUAGGCAUUUUAGGGCAUGUUUGCUUGAGAGGGAGUUGGAUUCUGGAACGCGAAUGGAAAUGAGUGACUCCCAUUCCAGUUGUUUAGUUGGAAGAAGUCUCAUUCUCAUUCCAUGAGAGAAUGAGAAUAUCCUAAUCUUCCAAAAUUCAAUUAGAACUCUCUCCUAGCAUUCAAAUUUUAUUCUAAUUCUGUUUCCUAUCACGAACCAAAUGCACCGAAGAAUAUGGCUAUUUCAAUUUCCAUUUCAAUCUAUUCGGAUUCCGAUCAUAAAACAAACAUACCCUUAGAGCAUGUUUGAUUGGAAGGAGUUGGACUCUGAAAUGAAAAUGAGAAUGAGUGACUCCCAUUUUAGAUGCUUGGUUUGGAGAGUCUUAUUCUCAUUCUAAUUCCAAAAAGAAAUAAAAAUACUCCAAUCUCCUAAAAUCCAAUCCCUACUUUUCUUUAGUAUUCAAAUCACAUUUCGAUACCUAUUCCGAUACCAAGGGCUAUGGCCAUUCCAAAUCCCGUUCCAAUCUAUUCUGAUUUUGAUUCCAAUCGCAAACCAAACUUGCAAUUAAAUAGCGUUCCAAAUCCCGUUACGAAUCUCGUUCCAUUGCUGAAAAAGUUCUGGAUACUCAGCUCAUCCAUGGACCAUAGGAUAUAAAUAUAACUUGAUACAAAUAUAACCUUUCCAGACUUUUCAAAUCCACAAAAAGCUACUCUCCCAUAUGGCCAUUUUAGUAUCAUGGAAGAAUACCACAGACCAAUAAACACCAAAAUAACUAAUAUGCUAUAGGUAUUUUAGGGCAUGUUUGCUUGGGAGGGAGUUGGACUCUGAAAUGCAAAUGAAAAUGAGUGACUCCUAUUCCAGUUGUUUAGUUGGGGGUUAGUCUCAUUCUUAUUCUAUGAGAGAAUGAAAAUGCCCUAAUCUUUCAAAAUUCAAUUAAGACUCCCUCCUAGCAUUCAAAUUCCAUUCCAAUUCUAAUUCCCAUAGCGAACCAAAUGUAUCAAAGAAUAUAGCCAUUUCAAUUUUCAUUCCAAUCUAUUCAGAUUUCGAUCAUGAAACAAAUACAUCCUUAGAGUAUGUUUAGUUAGAAAGAGUUGGUAUUUGAAAUAGAAAUGAGAAUAAGUGACUCCCAUUCUAGAUGUUUGGUUUGAAAAAUCUUAUUCUCAUUCUAAUUCCAGAAGGAAAUGAAAAUGCCCCAAUCCCCUACAAUCCAAUCUCUAUUUUUCUUUAGUAUUCAAAUCACAUUCCGGUACCAAGUUCGGUAUCAAGGGAUAUGGCCAUUCCGAAUCUUGUUCCAAUCUAUUGUAAUUCCGAUUCCAAUCGCAAACCAAACUUGUCCUUAAAUAGCAUUUGAUAAUUCAAAUAAGAUUAUCGAAGUAGUCUUAGAUCACUGAUGAUUCUAAUCCUAAGAUAGUCUGAUCCCCGAUGAUUUAAGAUCCUCAUGUAUGCUAUGUUUUAAUGAUUAAAGAAUCCUAAAUAUUCAUAACUUAUUUGGUAUUCAAUGAAAAUCCAAGAUUACUAACCAUAUAAUAUCAAAACUACACCUAAUAUAUUUUAUAAAAAUAUAUUUAUUAAUCAUAUCAAAUAUAUUAUAAUAAAAUAUUAUCCAUAAAUAUAUAUUUUUUGUUAUUCCUAUAAAUUAUUAAUCCUAUAAAGAUAUAUUAAUUAUUAUAGAAUUAAUAUUUUUAUUUAUACAUAUAAUAUAUUAUUUAUACUAAUAUUUAUUUUGAUUAAAAAAUAAGACAGAUAGAAGUAAUAUUAAAUAAUUUCAUUAUAUAAAUAUAAAGUAUAAUAAUAAUAUAUUUUUACUAUAAUUUAUAAUUAUCAUUGAAUAAUAAUAUAAUUAACUAUAUAUUAUAACAUAAUAUAUCAUAAAUAUAAAUAUAUAUAAAAUAAUAUGAUAUGAUAUAUUGAUACAAUAUAUUAAUGUGAUAUGAUAAAUUUUUUCAUUGUCCUGAGAGGUAUUUUUGCCUUCAAACUUCAGCCCAAGAUCAUGGCCCUAGGAUGAUCUUGGAUAUCUAACCUCAAAGAUGGAUAUUUCAUCGAGGAUCCAAGGGGACAUUUGAUAGAUAUUCGAUAUGGAUGAUCAUCUCAAAAUCAAAGAUGAUAUAAAUAAAGAUAAUGAUCAUUUUGUUUGAUUGCAUCGUGAUGAUUCUACGUGACAGUGAUCUCAAAUUACUACCAUUACAUGAAUCACCAUCCAAUCCAAUAAUGAGAUAUCUGUCUUUAAAGAUUGAAAAUCCAACAUUAUCCCUAAACAAUAAUCUUGGUCUGAAAUUUGAGGAAAAAAAAUAUCCCUCAAACCAACAAAAAAAAUUGGCCUGCCAAUGUAUCAUCAAUAUUUUAUAUUAAUUAUAUAUAAUAUUUUAUUAUAUUAAUAUUAUAUAAAUUCUAUUAUGAUAUAUAUUAUAUUAUAAUAUAUUAUUAAUCAUAUUAUUAUCCAAUGAUAAUUUUAAAUUAUAAUAGAAAUAUAUUAUUGCAUUUUAUAUCUAUAUAAUGAAAUUAUUUAAUAUAUAUUUCUAUUUACUUUAUUUUCUAAUUAAAUAAAUAUUAGCAUUAAAACAUAUAUUUUAAUAUAAUUUAAAAAUUUUAUUUGAUAAUAGUAACUAGUAUAUCUUUAUAGGAUUAAUAAUUUAUAAAACUAAUAAAUAUAUUUUUAUAAAAUAUAUCAGGAACAAUUUUUGUACUAUAUAAUCAAUGAUUUUGGAUUCUCAUAAAAUACCAAAUAGAUUAUUUAUAAAAAUUCAAAAAUAUUUAAUCAUUGAACCAUGACCUAUCAAACACCACGAUUUUAGAUCAUUGGAGAAUAGAUCACUCCAAAAUUUAGAUCACCAAUGAUCUUAGAUCACCAUGGUCAUCCUAUUUGAGUUACCAAAUGCCACAUUAUUAUCUUUUCAAUGACAGUUGCAGUUGAAUGUCUACAAGUGCCAAUAAAUAGAAAACUCAAAGAAUCAAAUGCCUCCUUAAUAAAAAUUCACCAACAACUCAGCAAAUGAUAAGCAAUCAUGCAUUGUAUGACAAAGCUCAAAUUGAACACAUCAAUUGAAUCAGCUAAAAGUGGUCAUUCAUUUGUAUUGAAAUGAAAAGUCUUUACAUUUUCUUUCAAAACCUCACAUAAAUAAUACAACUAUUAGCACAAUUCAUUGGUCAAUGGCCUGUGAUGUUGUACAAGAUACUUACCUGGCUCUCCAGCCCACUUCAGCCACAGCCACAGCCAUUGCCACUGCUGCAGGAGAAGGAAGCAAGAGCCGCACAAGAACCACCCACCCACCUGUAACGAAGUAAAAAUGACGAUACGACAAAAUAGGAUAGAGGAAUUGAUUUGGUCAAAACAAAGAGGAGGAGGAGGAGAAGAAGGGAUUUUCCUUUUGGUCCAAAACUAUAUCGAAGACUGACAGAUGGGUACGUCAACAUGGCCUUUUCAUGAUACGGAUUGGCUUGAUGAGAGCAUCAAGAUCAUCUGGUUGCAUAUCAAAGUGGUCAGAAUCUGACUCUGCUGGAUGCAAAUGGAUUGGAAGGUUAAGUUUCACAGUGCCACUUUCUUUACCAACAUCAAGGCUGAUAUAAUCAGCAAAUCGACCAUCAGAGCAGAAGAGAUCUUCACCCUCUCCUCCAUCAAGUUUGUUUACCGGAGCUAUUAGGGACUCACCGAUCACGCUAAUGGUGGACCCAAAGUAACGUCCCCGGCUGUUGCUCUGAACCAUGAAUCCCUUUUUUUUCUUUGACUUGUUUUUACUCUUAGGGUGAUAAAGCUUGCAUUUAGAUCCCUGUGGACACUUCCCUGUUGCUUCAAAGAGGGGACAUACAUAACUGUGCUUCUUACGGCACUGCUUGUGGAAAGACAAAAAUUCAAUCCUCAACAAUGGUUAGGAAAACUAGAUCCAGUAUUUGAGACUAAAAAUAAUAUUUUAGAAUGCAAUAAAUCAAGGCAAAUAAAAUUAAGCAUCCAAGACCUUGCGAAAAGCUAAAUAAGCAUACUGUACGUAUAACAGACCACCAAACUAGGAACAAAGAGUAAAGGACUUCUGUAAGAUGAUGUGUGCACAUGUCAAACGACGAGCAAAAUACAAGAAAAGGUUUUAUAUAGUAAUCCUGAAGGUAUCAUAUGAAUGACCAACAAGAUAAUUGUAAUUCCGUAUCAAGAUUUAUAUUCAAACCAUCAGUGGUAUUGUACAAAAAAGGAAUGUACAUGCAGUAUUAUAAGAGGUGACAAACAUUCAUGAAAAGCCUUUCAUGGAAACCUUUACAUAUGAAGAAAAGACCAACGAAAACUACAUGUCAAUAUUUUCUUUUAUUAAAUAUUAUGCACAAGUUUGAUGAAGGUCAAAAAAGAGAUAUGGUUCGUAAAGUUAGAAAUAUCAGUAAAUUAAGAUCUGUAGCUUUUAAUUGGUUGAGAACUAAUGAACUAUAGGACAGUAAUGUUUGGCGCCUCUCCAAAAUCCUAAAAGGAGUAUGACUGGUAUAUAAAAGCCACAAGUUUGUCAAUAUUCAAGUUGGGGAAGUUCUUACUAUAAAUUACAUCUACAAUUUAGAUAAAUUCAAGACCAUCUUCUAGGAACUCCCUGUUUAUCCUAUUUCUCUAAUACAUAGUAGAUCUCAUUCUCGAUCCUUCUAUCAUCUUGUCUCAUUGACAUAAAACCGAAGGCACUUGAUGGCAUCCAAAAGGAGCCCUUUUGCUCUCUUUACUCAUUUGUGGACAACUACAUUAAAGACUUUGCUCCACUCGACAACUUCUAGACAAAAAGAUUUAGUUCCAUUAAGUGACAAUUUGAGGCAAAGGUAUGUUGGUGCCAAAUAAGUCCUGCUCCCGUAAUAGAUAGAUUAAGGGAGUUUGUUUGAAGCCAUUUGAUCAUGCCUUAUAGUAUUGUUGAUCUUCUGGAGUCCUCAUACAUCAGGCACUAUAAGCUCACAGAUUGGUAACCUGAUACUGGAUAUUGUAUAAAAGAAAUGUCCUUAUCGUUUUGAAACCCACACCCCUUUUUCAAUCUCACAAGAGUGUGACUCAAGCUGUAUCCAGAUACCAAACUAGAUCGAUUCUGCAUCCAACAAAAAAUAUGGAUUUGUCUUGGAGAUUACUCAAAAUGCUUCAAUAUAUUCAGAGGUCUGGAAAAAUUUGAUAUUACUUAUUCCCAUAUUAAUUUAAACAAGAACUUGAACCAACUGAUAAUCCUAUAAAUUAAGCCACUAAAUUGUAAAUCUGAAAAAUAACUUGACUGGCCUAACUCAUGCACAGGUCAACAUCAAAUUAUUCCAUUUACAUGCUGAUAUCAAAUAAAGCAUUGAUGCAUAACUAAAUUUGAAACCAGUAAACAUUCAAAGCAAACAUCCUGUUUUGUCAUCAUGAUCCAACCUAUGAUGGAAUUCCGCACAUUGCUUCUUGCAACUCCCCUGAGAAGCCCAAUGUAAUUAUUGGAUCACAGACUGUAAAUAACAGAUAAUAAUAGAUAUGGACAAGUUUUAAGUAAUGUUGCUUCGUUUGAUUUAGAUAAUUUUGUCCAUGAUUUCACUAUAUAGUAAUGAACAAGAUGACAGAUUUUAAGCUACAAUUAAUUAUUUAUGUACUUCAUACAUUAUUUUCCUAAAUUGUCGUAUUAGAAUCAUACUUCUUGAUCAAUCAUUUCCCAAGCUACUUCAAAAAAGGAAGUGCAUUGACCAAAUGACAUUAAUUGAUCAAUAAGCUACGUCAUCCCCAUAAUAACACAGCAAAAUGAUCCAAUUAAAAGAAUCAGAAAAGUUACUAUUCUACGAACUGUUGUCUAUGAUUGGAGAUCCAUAUCUGCGUGAUGGUGUCUCAUAUAUUCAUAUAGCAUCACUAAAUUGAUUUUAAUUGUACAUGUUGAUUAUAUAAAUAUUAUGAAUGCAGAUUUUGAUCCGUCGUGUCACCAUAUUUGUAAUUCGAAAAAAUUAGUGUUGAGCACCUUUAUGCAUGUUGUCAUAUAACACCCAUGCAAUGUCACAGAAAUUAAGUACAGAGAACCAGCAUGUGACACAACGCAAAGGAUUAAAAAACUACACAAUCUUGAGGGUAAAUAUAGUCAACAAAUGGCAAAGAUGAUAUCAAUGAAAAUAUAAAAAUAGUAGUUAAUCUAUAACAUUAAAUACCUCAUCACCAUCAGCACAAUAUCCUCUAAGAAAACCUUCACAAAUGGAAGCAUUGCGAUUCACAUUUAUAUGUCUGUAAGGACAAUUUGUAUUUGUACAUAGUCCUGCCAAAGUGUCAUUAACUGGGUUAUCAGAGUUUUGUUUGGCAAUGAAAAGUUAAUAAUAUGCACCAAAAAAAAAAUAGCGGUACCUCGUAAAAAGUAUGAACAAUCUGGCAUUCUUUCUGGAAGUACCUAUAAAGAAAAGCUUAUAUAAUGUAUUAGACAUGUCCAGGACAAAAUUUUUGAUAGACCAUGGUUGUAAAAAAGUGAGAGGACCAAUCACCUUAUGAGUUAGCUUGCAAUUAGUACUGGAACAUAAGCCUUUCAGAAACUUCGUGCAGAUGGCCACUUUAGCAGGGUCAUGAAUGAAAGGACAUUUUCCUCCAUUCUUAUUACACUUGCCAAAUCGGGUGAAGAACUGGCAAUACUGUUGUUUUUUAGCCACACGCAAUCUAGCAGUGUGCAAACUCCAUCGAACUUUCUCACUUGCCAAGAUACGGACAAGCUUCUUUGGAUCUCUGACAAGUUGAUUACCAUUGCCUAUCCGAAUAUAUCUGUUCAAAUAUUUGAAUUCAAAACUUUCAGGAAAAAAAUAUAGCCAUGUAGAAAACAACCGACUUCCAAAUAGGUUGCUCGAAAAAUGAAAAACUGUCUAAAUAUAUAAGCAUCAGAAAUCAAACAUACUCAUCAUUGCCAAUCAAUAAUCUCUUUGGAACCAAAGAUAUCUGACUUCUGUCCCUUGAUUGUUGAUCAGUAGCAAAAGAUGACUGCUCAUCUGCACAAAGUCCCAACGAGCAAGGCAUGAGAAUAAAUUAUAGAUACAAGCAUAAAAGGAGAACUACAGGGAAAAAAUGUACAAUGAUCUCUAAAACAAAAAAUGUUGGAAUUUAUUGUAAUAUUUUUGAAAAUCAGGUCUUGGUUUAUGCUUAUAAGAUUAUGUAAAAGACAGCCCAUUAGUCAUCAGAAGUUUACACAAUCAUGAACAAACUUAUAGAAUAAUAACAUAUGUUAUUAUCGGCACUGUGCUUUGCAGUGUCCAAACAUACAAAAGUUUUGGCACUCUAAGAAUCUUGAAAACUUAAGUGUCCAUGUGAUGCUGCAUAGAGCAGUCACGCAAAUCAGCAGAGUGCAAAUAUCAGAUAAACCAUGAUUGAUAUCGCCGCUCAAAUAUCUCAAAUAAACCAAAUGAAGGUCCAAAUAAAGAAUCAUAAGCAUCUUACAAGACAUCAAGUUGAUAUUAAUUUCUUAACCAUGAAAAUACAUCUAUAUGAAAGCUACUUAUGAAGAAAGAAUGGUCCAUGGUGUUGAGGUGAAAAAAGUACCUGAAAUCCUUACUAAUGUCCGCCUAGAUGGAUCCAUUUUGUACCGAGUGGAACCAAUGCGAAAAAUACGCUCCCCUGUGCAUACAUAUUUGCAAUUAAAAGCUGUGAUCAUUCACUAAAUCUUACCAGGCCCGAAAAACACAAUUGAAUAGCAAUCCCUUAGUUGUGUGGGCCUAGAGAUAAAGUAUUUGGUUGCAAGAGCAAAAGAUCUAUGAUUAUUAGACAAUUAGAUAAUGACAAGAAGUGCAAUCGUUUUUAUUCUAAAUAUACAAAAAAUGUGUUCUCCGAGUACAAAUUUCAUUUCUUAAAUUGGCAUGUGCCCAAUUUAAACAUGAGCUGAUUAAUUUCUUGUAUAGUAGCAGUUAUUUGUGAUAUCAAUAGGGAACCUUUAGAAAUGUGCAGGAGAGCAGAACUAGAAUUAUGAUUUGAAGUCGCAGGCAAACCCAAAAUACAAGAUUAUUGCAACUAAGUGCUUUGUUCCAAUGUUAUCAAGGUGUAGCACAGGUAAAUUUAACCAAUUUAUGCAAGGUUUUCCAGGAAAAAUAUUUAAUUACUGAGUGUGCUUAAGAUGAAGCAGAUUGUAGUUCGGCCUACCUUGUUGUAGCUGAAUUCCAAAAGUUGACUUACGCAAUAAAGAAUUUCGAUUCUUUUCACCAUCACGACUAGACAUACCCCUCUUUCUCUCUCUCCUUUUCCUCUCUACUUCAGCAACUGCUAAUGUAGCUUCCUGUAGUAUGCAUUAUUAUCAUGGCUCACUACUCAAGCAAAUGCGUAAACCAUUUAAGGAUUGUAGAUAGGCCAGUUUUGGGCCCUUCAUAUGAUAGAAUUGGAUAUUUUAUGAAAAUCAAGACAAGGAACAAAUAAAGUGAGAUAUACUAUGGAAUAUGGAUAAUGCAAAAAUGCACAAAUAUAUUUUCAGCAACUUCCAUAAGUAUGAAACAUCCAUAGCAUCUCCUUCCAAGAUAAGCAAAAGACAUAAGCCUUACUUUAGAUCACUUAUGCAAAUUUUCUUAUUUCAGAUGCGUCUGAGUAGUGGAUUGGAACAGUACAUAGAUAACAAGUAAUCACUUAUACAAAUUGUCUUAUUUCAGAUGCAUCUGAGUAGUGGAUUGGGACAGUAUAUAGAUAAAAAAUAAAUGAAUAUACCAAAAACAUUCACAUAUGGGACAACCAAGAAAACAGCACAGCUUGGAAAUUGGAGGUAGAUCAAGUAAUGAACCAGAGCAGUUGCAGUUGCAUAUGUUCAAUUUUCCAUCUGUAACUUGUUUACCAGAACAAAAAUUGAAAUUCAAAUGUGAAUGUUAAUGUCAAAACAGAAUCUGUAGCCUAAAUUUGUCAUUAUACAUAGGAACAUUAUUUUUAAUUUAAAAAAAAUGUUCACAUUGCUUAGUAUAGCAUCCACGACUCACCCACCUCCACCCCCCUCCCCACCCCGUGGGCACACAAAAAAAAUAAAAAUGGCAAAACGGAAAAUCUUACGCCAUCAGAAUGCUUUUGUCCCUUCUACAAUUACCACAUCAGCCUCCAGCAUAUGCAUUAGGCACAUAAAAAAGCAUCCCAUGGAACAAUUUUGGAUCAUAAGCACAGAAAAACAGAUGCUCUGCUUGCUGCACUGCCACAUUUUCUUCAACAUUUGGCCACUAUUGCAUCACUCAUACAAUACCACUCAUGUUAAUCAAAGCAACUACUUGGACAGAUAAUUUGCACCAUAGAGAUAAACACUCAAAAUAAAGGGCCGAUGAAUGAUCCGUUUCAUGAUUAUGAAGACAAUAAGUUGGGGCAAUUGAAAGGAAUUAUAUAGAAUUUGGUGGUGAGAAUGGUUGAAGCUUUUGAGUGAACUUGCAAUAACAAUGCUAAGUGCCUAAGGUUUACCUUGGGUUUACAGGACCACUUUUCAGCCUUACACAGCAGCAGUCCAUCAACAGAAGGCAAUAAAAAAUGAUUAGUAUCAGAAAGCCAACUCACAUGGAAUCCUUAACUAGGAUCUUAACCCCCCCACCCCCCGCGCAACCACAAAAAAAGAAAAAAGAAAAAAGAAAAAAGAAAAAGAAGAAGAAAAAAAGAAAAGAAAAGAAAACUUACCCACAAGAUAGUUCAGCUCAUUAUCCUGAACUUAAUAUUCAACUAAUGAACUCACCUAUUAAAGAUAUUCUUAUAAACCUAUUUCAUGGUCAUCAGCAUUUGCGUAUGCAUUCCAGCUAUGUACAAACAAGAGUAUAUUAUUCAAAAUGAAAAUAAGCAUAUACUCAUCUAUCAACAUUCUCAUUAUCAUGAAAAAGGACCAACAAGAAAAACAGUGAUGCUAAAGUUCCGAUGUCGCAACUUGAAACACUAUUUACCCCUAGAGUAAUUCCAUGAAGCAAUCCAAUAAAGUUUCCUGAGGAUCAUCAGUAAUUCCAUGUGAAGGAUGCGCCAAGAAGAAUGUGCCAGUACUGAAUACACUCACCUCAUUGGCCUUCUUCGAGCGCCGCUCAAUGGAUCUGGACCAUUUUAAACUAGACCCCCCAAUGCUUAAAACCCCAGCUUUUCGCAAAGAGAAUCCAUCAUUUGACACUUUGUAGAUUGUAUCUCUUUUCCUAGAAAGCUGCAGUUUCCUACUCAAUGCACCAUAAGAGAAAAUUAUCGGUUGAACUAGCUCUUUAUAAGAAAGCAAAGACAUGAAGAUGCUAUAGAACUAAAAGUGAAGGAGAAGAUUUAGUAGAAAAUACAGUAGGUGUCCCUCUUCACUGCAAAAUAACAUACGUGAUUAAUGCUAAUGAGUGUCUCUUCGAAUACAAUGUUCUCUUCCAUGGAAAGAGGUAUGGAAGGACCUUCUGACAAUUUAAUAAUGAAACACCUUUUUUGUGCAGCUGAUUCCCACUAAGCGUCCAGACAUGAGGCAAUCUUGAAUGUUUGCUUGCCUUCUGUAGCACUGCAGUAGCAAAACAAAAUCAAAACUUGUCCAAUAUUUUAUUGGAGAUCUAAAUUUUAGCAUCUACAGAUUACAAAUCAGGUCUGCGAUAUAGAUCUGAACAUGAUAGAAGAAGUCAGUACUUGAAAACCAUCAGCAACCACUCCAGAUUGUUCAUUUUUUACGGUAGUGCACAUCUGGGAUAUUAAUAACACUGCUUGUGCAAGUACCAACCAACAAUGAACCAUGAUUUGCUUCCUCUAAUGUGAAGCAUGUCAUCUGUUGAAUGCACCUCCCUUCUAUCACUGGCAUUCAGAGAGAGACUUGAGCUAUAUGCUGUCUUCUUAGUCCAAAAUAGAACCAAGGUAAUGCAUGCGGCAUCUAAUUUAAAGUUCAUGAGUUACUGAAAAGGUGCACAUGAGUCACAAGAAGUAAUGUGUUGCAAAAAAUGUGCAUAUAACAGAUCAACCAUCCCAACCUUUCUCUUAGCUGCAUCAAUAAUCUGUUUGCAGCAAGCCAAUGGUCAUAUUUUUAGUGUCAAUCAAAGUUUGCCAUCUCAGUACUCGAUCCCGUAUGGGUACCAUCCUAUUAUAGUAUUGAUAUGUAAUACGAUACAAGACAGUGAGGCAUAUCGAGUGUCACUAUGGUAUGAGACUGCAUUACCGUUUGGUACUGGUAUGGUAUACAUCCGGUACCGACCAAUACAGCAAAUCUUAGUAUCAAUGAUGAAAGCAUCAAACCCGAGUGCAUUUAUUGAAGUGGCGAGGGUACAGAGCACAUCUAAAAAAUGUAAUAGUCUAUUUGACUCCAGGUACACUUUCAUAAAGGUGUUCCUUGGUGCUCGGUGAAAAUCAUCUUAACAAAUCCACAUAAGGAAUUGAUGCAAAAGAAUUAUAUGAUCAAAACAUGUGAUCCAGUAUAUUCCUUAAUGAUCUCCUUCAGCAAUGACUCAAAUAUGUUCAAACAUUAUAAAUCUCCACAGCUUCUUAUCUCUAAAAUGUUUUUUAAAUUUUCUACAGGUUUCUUAUGGGUUCUUAGUAACUUUUUUUUUUUACAUUAGUUGUCUUUCUCAUGUUAACAGCAUGAAAUAUCUCCUGAAAACUAAAAGGUUUAAAAGUAUUAGGUGGUACAAGAUGGUAGGUUAAAGCCCUACCUCCCUUGCAUGCACACCAGUAGCAACUCUCUCAUGGUGACUACACAGGCUUACACUUAGCCAUUUUAGACAAAUUAUUUAGUUCCAAUCUUGCAACAAUUAUUUAUCACCUGGAUGGUUAUAAUAUAGGAGGGUAGGAAACUCCCACCCAGAUUCAUGACCUUCUCAUAGUGAGUGUACAAGAUUACAGCUUAUCCUAGCUACAAUUCAAUUUCACAAAUUAUUGAUUAGUUGUUUAUGUCCAAUUUUUUAGUUAUUAUUCAUCAUCUGAAGAGUUGUUAUUGUACUAAGUUACUUUGGUUACUAAGCCUAUUUCUUCAACAUUCAAUAAAUGUUAUUUUAUAAUCUUACUUUAAAGUAGCAUAUUAUGUGACCUAAAAUAGGAUCUCGUAUACACGUACAAUUGCUUCCUUAAAUUACCUUGUAGUCACCUCAGUUUUUUAUUCAUUUCUGAUUUUCUAGCUAAGUUUAUAAACAUAAUUACUUUUUUAGUAUAUUUGAUGUGACCCAUGUGCCUACAUUCAAGCAAAGGAUUAGCUGUUCCUCUGGCCACUUGCACAUCAUUGGCAAUGUCUAAAACACUAGCACUUGGAUGGCAUGCCAAAAUGUUCUGAAUAAAGUGAAAACUUGGUGCAGGGGUCGAACCAUAAUUUUUUUGGUGGGGGACGAUAAUGUACAUUAUAUAUGUACACAAUACAUACAUACAUACAUAUAUAACGUAUGUAUGUAUCUAUAUAUGUAUGUACAUAUAUAUAUAUAUAUAUAUUGUACAUACAUAUAUAGAUACAUACAUACAUACAUUAUAUAUGUAUGUAUGUAUGUAUAGAUACAUACAUACAUACAUACAUAUAUAUAUACACACAUGUACGUACGUGUGUGUGUGUGUGUGUGUAAUGCACAUUAUAUAUGUAUGUAUGUGUGUAUACACAUUAUAUAUGUAUGUAUGUAUGUGUGUGUAUGUAUAUAUAUAAUGCACAUUAUAUAUGUGUGUGUGUGUGUGUCUAUAUAUAUAUAUAUAUACACAUAUACAUAUACACAAACACACAUACAUACAUAUAUAAUGUACAUUUUAUACACGCACAUAUAUGUAUGUGCGUGUAUAUAUAAAUAUGUAUACGUGUACAUAUACAUACACAUGUAUAUGUGUGUGUGUGUGUAUUAUGUACGUAAGUACGUAUGUAUGUAUGUAUAUAUGUACAUAUAUGUACACAUACAUGUAUAUAUAGAUUAAAAAUAUAUGAAAAUAAUAUAAUUUACUAAUAUAAAUAUGUAAAAAGGUAGAACAAAUGAUCACUUGUCAGGAAAAUAGACCCUCAUCAACUUUCUUCUUUAAACAGAUAUCUAAUGCAUACGUUAAUGCCAAGCCUCCAGUUCCAAGUUUUCAAUAGCCUUUAGUAGUUGUCCCUCUGCAUCAAGCAGAGGUGGAACCAGGACUUUAAGAGAGAUAUCAGAGCUAUGUCAGAUGCAAUCAUUAGAGAUGGCCAAAAGAAAAGAAUAGUUUUAUAACCUAUAUUACUUAAAUAAUUUGCUUGUCAUUUAACAAAGAAACACAAAUAGAAAAGUCAGAAAAAGGGAUAAUCAAGCCAAAGAAAACGAGACAAAAAGAGCAUUAUCGUGCUUCACAGUUAAUGAGUUAGGUAAUUUGGGACCGCAUUAUACUGAAGGCAUGUUCGAUACUUAUCAGCACAAAUAAAUUGUAAAGCUCAAAUAGAAACAUAAAAGCCUAAAAUAAUUAAACCAUGAUAUUCCGUACCGGUCCAAAUCAUUUGGUACACCCAUACUAUACCGUACCGGCAGGGAACCGGUUUGGUUCAGACCGAUUUUUCAGAAAAUGACCUGAAUCGAACUGAACUGGUCGGCUCGGUAUCGGCCCGAACCGCCCAAUACCGGACCGUUUGGUCCGGUACAGUGCGGUACGGUACCAAUUCGGUCCGGUUUGACUUAGUUUUCUUUUUUCUUUUUUUUUUGGCCGUUGGGUGGGAUUUUUUUGAAUUUUUUAUUAUCGGUACGGUACAGUACGAUACCAUACUGUACCAACUAGGAACUUGUACGGGCCUCAAUACUGGUUAUUGAAACCUUGGGUUAAACUCUUCUUGCAGUUUUUUUUUCCUAUAGCACUAGGAAACAUACAAGAGUUCAUUACUUCAAUCAGUUUUGCUUUGAUAAAAGCCUCUCAUAAUACAUGGAACGACUCAUUAGCCAGACCAAUGACUCAAACUUUAAAAUUAUAGCCAAAUAGAAAUAGUCUUCUUUCUGAAAAUCAGGAGAAUCCAAGCUUGACCAUGUUUGAUAAAGCCUAAGAGUCUAAAUCCGUACUAAUAAAUACAAUCUGCUCAAACGUUGCACAAUGGUAAAACUCAUAGUCAUAGACUAAAUAUUAACAUAUUUGACAUUAUGCUCUGUCUACAUGAAUAAGUAGCACCAUUGAAGGAAAGAAAAAAGCAAAUUACCAUAAAAUCCAUGACAACACAACGAAAAUAAGAAAAGAUGUAGAAAACAAACCUUUAAUCGGUCUCUUCUUAGAUAGGUCCCCCAUGCUGUGAUUCAGGGAGGAAUUUUUUGGUUCCCUUUGAUCUUCUGAAUUCGAACCAUUAGUAGGAACUAUUAAAUCUUGCUUCUGCUGACUAUCUGUAGAGAUGGCAUUCCGAAUAAGUUGAUUCUUUUUAUUCUUAAAGUAGAGAUCUGAUGAUGUGAAGGAAGCUGAUGUCUGAGCCUUCUCAGAAGAAUGGUUAGACAUAUCACGAAAUGGCCCAGAAGUAGCAACCAACUGAUUUGAUUUGCGUUUCACAUAUACCAUUCUCUUUGUACUUAAGGAUUCAGUCUUUUUACCAGUUAUGGUACCUUGAUUGUCAACACUACCUGAAAUCAAGUCAAGUGGUCUGACCUGGCCCUCAAAACCGGUUUCAGAAAUUGGAUUCUCUGACAAGGGAUGAGAAGUCUCCCGUGAAGGACUGGCAGUGCAGUUUGAUAACUUAGUCCCAAGAGGCAAAGGGGGCGUUUUGGGUCUUUCGAAAGAUGGAUUCGACAAAGUUGAAUUAUCAUUAUUAUGAGAUGGCUGAGGAGCGGUUAUGAUGGCCGGUUUUCUAAUAAGACUAUUACCUUUACGAAUAUAAGAAGUCUGAAGUUUUCCAAGCUUCCUUGGUGACUGCUUACACGAUGAACUACCUCCUAGAUGCUGAAUUCGUUGAGAAGAUGAAGCAGAAGGUGGUGUACUAUUCCGGUGCCAUGUCCUAUGUCUAGCAUUCUGGCUUGUACGAGCUGAUUCCUUUGCUGAACUUGAUAGACUUGCCUGAGUGGAAGGAACCUUUGGAACUCCUAAGCUCAGGAGGGUCUUCUGAGCCAUAGAUUCUUUAACACCUAGUACUUUUGAAUCCACAGUUACCAGCUUUCUAGAAUCAUGCAAUGCUUCUACCUUUGUUUUCUCAGGUACAGGAUGACAAUCUAACAUGACUUUAUCUGAGUUCACAUCCUUUUCAGCUUCUGAUACCAAUAAACCCUUACAUGAUAACAAAGAUGUGCCUUCAGUGCUAGGCUUCUCAUUUUGGUUAUUACUAUUAUCGUAAUUGUCCCUGCAACCCUUGCUAUCCAACAGCUGAGGACUUGAUCGUUCUGCAUUUAUACAAUUCAAAACAUCUUGGACUUUGGAGUUAACAAUUGAAGAAUCUCUAUUCAAGAGUCCAGGCAGAGUUUCACAUGUAGCGGAAAGUGGUGAAUGAUCCCCUCCAAGCAUCAGACAAUCAGAUUGAGGUGGCCCAUCCUUAACAGACAUAUCUUCACCAUGCAUGGCUCCGUCAGGCUGGUAUUGAUCUAAAACUGUCUCUUUGGCUUCCGAUGGAAAAUAAGCUGACACACACUGUACAUGCAUCUGUAAGGAAACAUCUUCAUUUUUGCUCUUCCCUCCAUCAGAAAUAUCAAGCUCUUUUGUCGCCAUACCAACAAUGAAUUGUUUUUGGACUUCUCUCUGUGUUUUUCCUUCUACAUUUUUUCCCUUGAGAGACUCAUCACCAAAGAUAGGGGCAACAGGACCAACUGAGAUGACAACUUGCUCAUUGCCCCCUAGUCCAGAGGAAGAAGAGUCCUUAGUAAAAAAUGAAGCAACACAAUUAUCAGGAUAUGUAUAUUUUCCACUGUUAUCCAAUGCAGAUGUCACUUGGUUGUUAGGACCCUCAUCGGUGUCAUUAUCAACAGAAGGAAAGGCUUUAUAUAAUUCCUCUUUUGUGCCAUUUUCAAGUGAUGCCACCAUAACCGCUUCUCCUUGAGCACAAGGCUGUGAACUGGCAUCAUGUAGAGCUCCCAUUUCAAGAACUGAACCCACACAAGUUUGAUCAUCUUUCUCACCAAGUUUUACAUAUUUAUUUUCCUUCAUAUCCUCAUUGCCACCACCUUCUACCAACUUAGCAGCCGUGAGUGAAUGUCCUGCAGCAUUCUUCUCAAUAGAAGCUGUCAUGACUGUGAUUUCUUGCUGACCAAGCGCAGGAUUAGUAUCAUCAGAAUGCAUGGCCUCGGGAAUCACUUCAUUUGCACGUUUUGUUAAUUCCUCAGAUGCAAUGGCCUUGGGAGUCCUCUUUCCUGUGUUUUUAUCAACUGAUGUCAUCUUUAUGAUCCUCCUAGGACAAGUUCGAGGGUUAAUAUCAUUUACAGGUUUAGUAGAAGAAGCUAUUGCUUUUCCUGAUACUUCUGAAUUAUUUGAAACCAGGCUAGGACUGCUUGACAGGUGUCCCUUAGGGGCUCCUCCCUUUGCCUUGGAAACUGAUGGGCUAGCAACAUUGGGAACAACUACUUUCACCCUCUUCUUCACUAUCUUCUUCUUCUUCACCACUGUCUUCUUUGGUGCUGUCACCUCAGGACUCUUCUCAUCAGAACCAGGUAUUACUGGACUUGGGGGGGCCACAACCUUAGCCACCAAUGCAUUAGAUUUAAAAGAGAGAUCCAGUGUGUCCACUUCCAACUGGUGCUCAUCGGAAAUUUCAGGAGGAGAAAGCUGAGGGCAGGAAGAAGGUGAAGAUAAGGACGACUUCCCCUCUAUCCUAUUCCAAACAGAUACCCCAGAUUGUAUUCUGGACAGUGCGCUUGGUCUCUUCAUAGGAGGACGUCCUAGAUUAUUAUCAUUUCCUCCACUGGGCAUCUUCCUCUUGCCUUUGUUGCCCCCAAAGUAAUUCUCUUGAAAGCCAUAGCUAGAGCUACCACCAGGGGCAUCAAAGCCCAGAUUUGCAUUGUUGGCAGAUACAUCUCUAUCAGAAUAAGAACGACCAGAGGACUGCAUCAGGGCUGGCGGUGGAAGCCGUCGUUCGGUAACAGAUUCAGCAUCUCCCCUCCUAUCAGGGAUGAAAAAAUUCCGCAGACUCCUAGGACAAGAGGAAGGUACCGGAGCCGGAGGAGAUUCCAGCGGCACCGAUUCAAAUACCAGAUCACGCCUGUGCCCACCUUCAUCAUCCCAAAACCCUAGCUGCCUCUGGCUCCUCCGGCCAGAACCCUCCUCUAAAUCACAAUCUUGGAGCCCCCCGCAACCUCUUGCUGCCAGAAAGAAAAACACCCGGCUCCUCCAUAUGGUAAGAAUCGCCCCUAUACGAAAGCGGAAGGCCCUGCCUCGCUUCUUGCUCCCAUUGCAACCGGAUAUAUUCAGGCCUUUCGUCAAAACACCGAAAUCUAUCGACAUUGAAGCCACCGCCCUCCCAGGGUUCCUGGGGGAACACCUCCCCGCGGCCAGACCGGUGGGUGUGGCCCAGGGGCGGCCGAUCCUCAGGGAAGAUCGGGCGGUCGGGAACCCUAGGGAGGGGCAGCGGGAAGGGGUCGGGAGGGCUGCGGUAAGGAAAAUAGAGGCGCUCGUCGUCUAGGUGGUGGUGUUGAUGGUGGCGGUCAUGGUCCGGCCGGUGUUGCCGGGCCGGCGGCGGCGGCGGCGGAGGAAGCGGCCGAGAGAAGGGAGGGUGGUGGAGGUGGGGAUGGGGGUGGGCGUAGUAACUGGGGUCGAGGUAGUGGGAAGGGGGAGGCGGGGGAUCGUACCUGGAUCGGCCGGCGAUGUGGGGAUGGUCCGAGGGUUCCAUAGCCGCCGUCGAGGGGCGGAUCCCUUCGUUGAGGAGAGCUCCGAGGGCUCGCUCGAUCGCCGCCACGAGGAGA
rnacentral:lncRNA from 1 species